rnacentral:tRNA from 1 species
GGCCUAAUGGCCCAAUGGCAAGGCGCUUGACUACGAAUCAAGAGAUUCCAGGUUGUAAGUGUGCUCAAAGCGUACUCGAUUCGAAUCCCAUUACUAACAAUGGACAGCGACCCCUGGUUAGGUCA